AGUGAAAUUCACUACAGUGGCUAUCACGACACCCAAGAACAGCAGCCGUCUCAUCCAUCCUUAGUCUUGGACGCAGGUCACCCGUCUGAGACUUUGAGCUUCAAGCUUUCUCCUGUGUCUUUGGGCUGCUUGGAUUCUGAAUAAAGAGUACCAACCAAGACUCCGUGAAUAAAAACAUCAUUUGUACCUCCUUCACAGUUAAACAUAGCAAGGGAGAGACGCAUAAAGACCACCGAGAAGCAGAGAAAGGGAGGAAAGGAGAAUCCACUGACUUCACUGCCUGAACCCGGCUUAAGACUGAAAUGUUAAAUCGAGACUAUUCUUGUUUUAGAACUAAGCACCUU
rnacentral:lncRNA from 1 species